rnacentral:rRNA from 1 species
AACGAACGCUGGCGGCAGGCCUAACACAUGCAAGUCGAACGCCGUAGCAAUACGGAGUGGCAGACGGGUGAGUAACGCGUGGGAACCUACCUUACGGUCGGGAAUAGCUCAGGGAAACUUGGGGUAAUACCGGAUACGCCCUUACGGGGAAAGAUUUAUCGCCGUUAGAUGGGGCCGCGUAGGAUUAGCUAGUUGGUGAGGUAAUGGCUCACCAAGGCGACGAUCCUUAGCUGGUCUGAGAGGAUGAUCAGCCACACUGGGACUGAGACACGGCCCAGACUCCUACGGGAGGCAGCAGUGGGGAAUAUUGGACAAUGGGCGCAAGCCUGAUCCAGCCAUGCCGCGUGAGUGACGAAGGCCUUAGGGUCGUAAAGCUCUUUUGGCGGGGAAGAUAAUGACGGUACCCGCAGAAUAAGCUCCGGCUAACUUCGUGCCAGCAGCCGCGGUAAUAC